rnacentral:lncRNA from 1 species
UUUGUUCCCAUUUUCAAUUGUGCUAAAUGUACCCAUGCUAAUUAUAUGUAUUUAUUUUAUGUUUCAAAAUAUAUUAGUAGUUAUUUUUUUAAAAUAUGUUAAUAAUUAUGUGGGUACAUUAUUUUCUUGCUAUAAUUUUGUGAAGGACAAUAUUAGUUUUGUUGUAACCUAUAUUUAACUAAGGGGUGAGGCAUAGAGAGAAAGAGAGUGGAGAAUAGACUUGAGGAAUUGUGUGUUAAUUCCUUAGUCCUUCUGCCUUUAUUUAUCAUAAUAAGGAGGAGAUAAACUUUCUCUCCAAGUAAUACAAAGUCUAUUAGGAAAGAUCUUCUAGAUCCCAAAGGAUUCCUAAUCUAUCUCUACUUAGGAUUUACACAAUUACAAUAUUGAUAAGAACAUAUGUCACAACACUCCCCCUUGAGUGUGCAAAUACUCAAGUAGAUGGUGCAUCAGGUCUUCAGGCAAAUGUAGAAGCAAUUGAUGAAGUCGUCUCGUCUAGUUGCCACAAGUAGCGAAUGCGAGUAUCAAAACAAAUGGAAGAAUGUGUGGGUGGUAAAACUCACAAAACCUCACUAUGGCAAAACCCAAGGUAGGAGAAAAGCCCAUAGUCAAAGGAGAAAAAGUGAGAAGUUGCAUUAAAUCAAAACUAUCCAUCUUCGGGAUGCAAGUGGAAUGUACACAAGGGUAUGACCAACCCAGGAUAGGUGCCUUGUCAAAAUCUAGUCAGGUAGCAAAAACCCAAUGGGGAAAAUGCUCAUAAUCGUAGGGAAAAAUUAUACAUUAAGGUCAAGUAAGUAUACUUCUGGAUACUCCCCCUAAGUUUGACAAAACUUCCAAAUGAAACUACAAGUGAGAAAGUUACGCAUACCAACUCCUCGACCAUAUCUCCCACGUGAUGCGAUACAAUGAGUCUUGGAACGAUUCAAAGGUUUCGCAACAAAGGUCUAUCUGGUUGACCUCCAAGAUAUUUCGGUGUUCCUUAAUGGUAAAGACAUAGCCAUUCGGGAACAUACCUUGUGAGGUCAGAUAGGUAAUCGGAUUCAGCGAAUCCCACAAGGUAGACAUCAUUCUGAAGAUCAAGGGGGUGUGAUCUUAUUCUGAGAUAGAUAAGGAUAGAUAAGCCCAAAUCCGUAGUAACGGAAAAAACGUCUUUAACACCAAAUUUGGUGGUGGCGUGUAGGUGUAGUGUUGCUUUAUGCCAAAAGAUUAUUAGCACAUAAGAUAUCUGAUUCUAGUGCAUUGAGCUAAGUACAACAAACACCAAUGGUACUUAGAUACGGUUGCCUCACGUUCCAAUAUGGAACCUUAUGCUUUAUACCGUUCGUAAAGAUCUCAUUUGCAUUUACUGUACAGAGGAUCAGGGUAUACUUAGACGUAACACCUUCUAGGUCUAGUUUGACUAGUGGACCAGAAUACCAUUAGAACUAGCUGAUGCUUAUAACUAAACACACAAAUUAAACCCUCUUUUUGUCAAUUGUAGUAAAGUAUGUAAGUAGAGAUCGUUCUAAACCGGGGAUUAGGAGGGAUUGCUAAACACUUGAAAACUGACUUAAAAACGUAAAAACAAAGUUUACAACACUAAACUAGACUCAAAGAAUGCAAAACUAAAAUUUAAAACACUAAAACAAACCAAAAACUCAAAACAGCAACCAAAAGACUCAAAACUGCCUUAAAAACACUUUUUGGGCAGUUUUGAGCACAAAGCACCAAAUUGGACGAAUUUGGGUUUUAACUUGUACCAAAACACUUAAAAACAUAAACCAAAACAUUUUCUAACUAAUCUAGGACUUCAAAAUAAAUGGGGAUUUUAUUUGGACGAAAAUAAACUAACAAAACAGAUUGCAAAGUAAAACAGAUUUGAAAACGAUUUUGGGGUUUUAAAUGGAUGAUGGAUUAGUUAGAGGCUCUUUCUCCACACAUGACAAGUAUGCAAACGACUCGAUUUCCAGUUAUUCCUUCAUUGAAUUAUGAAUGACAAUGCCCCAAGUUAACCGUGACAUCACUAGUUAAUUCAAAAGUUUUCCUUGUGUUAUUGGAUUGGAUGACAUCAUUCGACAACCCAAAGCAUUCCUCAA